GGUAGGUUGGCAGAGUGGUAAUGCAUCGGAUUGCUAAUCCGACGUCUUGAAAGAGGCGCGUUGGUUCGAAUCCAACACCUACCGCCA
rnacentral:tRNA from 1 species